rnacentral:tRNA from 1 species
GGGUGCAUAGCUCAGUGGUAGAGCACAUGCUUGGCAUGCGUGAGGUCCUGGGGUCAGUCCCCAAUACCUCCA